rnacentral:rRNA from 1 species
UGGGGAAUAUUGGACAAUGGGCGCAAGCCUGAUCCAGCCAUGCCGCGUGAGUGAUGAAGGCCCUAGGGUUGUAAAGCUCUUUCACCGGUGAAGAUAAUGACGGUAACCGGAGAAGAAGCCCCAGCUAACUUCGUGCCAGCAGCCGCGGUAAUACGAAGGGGGCUAGCGUUGUUCGGAUUUACUGGGCGUAAAGCGCACGUAGGCGGACUUUUAAGUCAGGGGUGAAAUCCCGGGGCUCAACCCCGGAACUGCCUUUGAUACUGGAAGUCUUGAGUAUGGUAGAGGUGAGUGGAAUUCCGAGUGUAGAGGUGAAAUUCGUAGAUAUUCGGAGGAACACCAGUGGCGAAGGCGGCUCACUGGACCAUUACUGACGCUGAGGUGCGAAAGCGUGGGGAGCAAACAGGUUAGAUACCCUGGUAGUCCACGCCGUAAACGAUGAAUGUUAGCCGUUGGGGAGUUUACUCUUCGGUGGGCGCAGCUAACGCAUUAAACAUUCCGCCUGGGGGAGUACGGUCGCAAGA